rnacentral:misc_RNA from 1 species
GGGGCUUUAGUGCGCAGCCGUAGGUUGCCAGGCAACCAUGUAGAGACGCUUUACAAACGGUCGAAUCAAAUAUAAGAGACAAACAAAGAAGUGCAGGCCGUGUUUAUGAGGUCAUGCGGACCCUACGCCCGACGGACCGUGAAGACCUGACUCCCAUUUAGCUUGGUAUUUUUAGGAUUCCGUGCUCAAAGGGGGAGAGAAGAACCCUG